rnacentral:rRNA from 1 species
UAAUACAGAGGGGGCGAGCGUUGUUCGGAAUUACUGGGCGUAAAGGGCGCGUAGGCGGCCUGCUAAGUCAUACGUGAAAUCCCUCGGCUCAACCGGGGAACUGCGUGUGAUACUGGCGGGCUUGAAUUCGGGAGAGGGAUGCGGAAUUCCAGGUGUAGCGGUGAAAUGCGUAGAUAUCUGGAGGAACACCGGUGGCGAAGGCGGCAUCCUGGACCGAUAUUGACGCUGAUGCGCGAAAGCCAGGGGAGCAAACGGGAUUAGAUACCCCGGUAGUCCUGGCCCUAAACGAUGAAUGCUUGGUGUGGCGGGUAUCGAUCCCUGCCGUGCCGAAGCUAACGCAUUAAGCAUUCCGCCUGGGGAGUACGGUCGCAAGGCUG